UACGUAGGGUCCGAGCGUUGUCCGGAAUUACUGGGCGUAAAGAGCUCGUAGGCGGCUCAUUGCGUCAACCGUGAAAACCAGCAGCUCAACUGUUGGCUUGCGGUUGAUACGGGUGGGCUGGAGUUCGGUAGGGGAGACUGGAAUUCCUGGUGUAGCGGUGAAAUGCGCAGAUAUCGUGAGGAACACCAGAGGCGAAGGCGGUUACCUGGACAGUUACUGACGCUCAGGCACGAAAGCAUGGGGAGCAAAAGGG
rnacentral:rRNA from 1 species